CCUGGCCCAGGCAUUCCCCUGUACUGGGGCAUAUGAUCUUUGCAAGACCGAGGGCCUCUCCUCUCAUUGAUGGCUGACUAGGCCAUCCUCUGUUACAUAUGCAACACAGCUCUGAUGGGUGGGGGUGGUACUGGUUCGUUCAUAGUGUUGUUCCUCCUAUUAGUCUUGCUUUUUUGUAAACAGGCUUGGCCAUUCUACCAACUACCUGUAGCUGAUGUGACAAUGGUUCAAGGCAAGGCAGCCAAGGAUUCAGCAACCCUCUCUCGGUCAAAGGGAGUGCCUCCCCUUCCCCAAUAAGUGAAACUUUAUUCCCUUAGAGAAAAGUGGCUUGGCCAUUCUACCAACUACCUGUAGCUGAUGUGACAAUGGUUCAAGGCAAGGCAGCCAAGGGUUCAGCAACCCUCGCUCGGUCAAAGGGAGUGCUUCCCCUUCCCCAAUAAGUGAAACUUUAUUCCCUUAGAGAAAAGUGGCUUGGCCAUUCUACCAACUACCUGUAGCUGAUGUGACAAUGGUUCAAGGCAAGGCAGCCA
rnacentral:lncRNA from 1 species